UACGAAGGGGCUAGCGUUGUUCGGAAUUACUGGGCGUAAAGCGCACGUAGGCGGACAUUUAAGUCAGGGGUGAAAUCCCGGGCUCAACCCCGGAACUGCCUUUGAUACUGGGUGUCUUGAGUAUGGAAGAGGUAAGUGGAAUUGCGAGUGUAGAGGUGAAAUUCGUAGAUAUUCGCAGGAACACCAGUGGCGAAGGCGGCUUACUGGUCCAUUACUGACGCUGAGGUGCGAAAGCGUGGGAGCAACAG
rnacentral:rRNA from 1 species